rnacentral:misc_RNA from 1 species
UACGGAGGGUGCAAGCGUUGUUCGGAAUUACUGGGCGUAAAGCGCGUGUAGGCGGCCUUCUAAGCCUGGUGUGAAAGCCCGGGGCUCACCCCCGGAAGUGCAUUGGAAACUGGAAGGCUAGAGUACCGGAGAGGAGGGUGGAAUUCCUGGUGUAGCGGCGAAAUGCGUAGAUAUCAGGAGGAACACCGGUGGCGAAGGCGGCCCUCUGGACGGAUACUGACGCUGAGACGCGAAAGCGUGGGGAGCAAGCAGG